rnacentral:misc_RNA from 2 species
CAGAGUUCAUGCCCUCACGGGUAGAUCUCCCACCCUUGAAUAUUAUACCUUCGUUGCUUUGGCAGGCCGUGGAAACACCAUGGGCCCCGGCUUAUGCGUGCCUGCCAGAGGAAACAAACUCUGUUUUUAGUGAUGUCUGAGUACUAUAUAAUAGUUA